UUUACUGAUUCCUCCUUCUUGACGAACCGUGAUGUCAUUAAUUUGGUGUUGCGGGAAAUCAGGACUGUUACUUUGAAAAAAUUAGAGUGUUUAAAGCAGGCUAACGCUUGAAUACAUUAGCAUGGAAUAAUGAAAUAGGACGUUAAUCCUAUUUUGUUGGUUUCUAGGAUCGACGUAAUGAUUAAUAGGGAUAGUUGGGGGCAUUAGCAUUCAAUUGUCAGAGGUGAAAUUCUUGGAUUUAUUGAAGACUAACUACUGCGAAAGCAUUUGCCAAGGAUGUUUUCACUAAUCAAGAACGAAAGUUAGGGGAUCGAAGACGAUCAGAUACCGUCGUAGUCUUAACCAUAAACUAUGCCGACUAGGGAUCGGAUGAUGUUAUUUUUAAUGACUCAUUCGGCGCCUUACG
rnacentral:rRNA from 1 species